AUGGCCCAUUAUCAAAUGGACAGGAACAGGGGAAAAAGACAUGUCAUCGUUACGCACUUGAACAGCAAAUGGUGGCAGCACACCGACCAGGAGUUAUUCCCCCCAAACACUGUAUGCCCAUUGGCUCUCCAACCCUGUUCCUGUAGCUACCCAAUGCUUAAUUUGGGAAACCAAGUGAAAUCUGUUGGGGAACAUCAAGAAGGAAGAAGGCGCUCAGGAAAGGAAUAAAGGAGAGCGAGGAGGAGAUGGAAACAUAUGGCACUGAGAUAUUCUGUAUAGCUAAAGGGAAUGUGUCAUCCUACUAAAUUUUUUAUUUUAUUUUAUUUCACCUUUAUUUAACCAGGUAGGCUAGCUGAGAACAAGUUCUCAUUUGCAACUGCGACCUUGCCAAGAAAGCAUAGCAGUGUGAACAGACAACACAGAGUUACACAUGGAGUAAACAAUMAACAAGUCAAUAACACAGUAGAGAAAAAAAAGGGGAGUCUAUGUACAUUGUGUGCAAAAGGCAUGAGGAGGUAGGCGAAUAAUUACAAUUUUUUGUUUUUUAAAGAAAAAUAUGAAUAGAAAAAAGUCCCUACUAAAAACAAAUUCACUAUAAUUGUAGGCUAACUGUAAGCCGCCCUGCACUAUCAAUGAACCAACCGCAUCGCCUAGGUCUAUUCAUUUUCUCACAGAUGUUGGAAUGUAGCAAAAGGUAAUCAGUUCAUCUAGUAUGCAUAAUAAUACAAUCCACACUCAAACACACAAGAGAUCUUAAAUGUUUAUUUUAACAUGUAUUUUCACGUUUUUCUGCCGUGCGUAAUAUGUGGUAGGCUAAGUAUUGUAUAAAGGCACAAUCAUAAUUUUUAUACAGUUUUGGGGGGGGGGUUCGGCUUGGACUCAUAACUCUAAUUUGCAUAUAGAUGUUUUUAAAUAAUCAUCACCUUAAAGGCUGUCCAUUUUGUUGUGUUAGUCUUUGAAACAACCUGCUGUUGGAUUUCUUUCUUCAAAUGUAUUUUCACAGUGAAGUGAGUUUUAAAAGCAUGAUACUGUUUUGAUGAUAAGUGUUUGACAUCAAAUGCAAUUGAAAAUCACAUCAUAGUGGCAGGUCC
rnacentral:lncRNA from 1 species